rnacentral:lncRNA from 1 species
AUGUCUCUCUUUCUCUUUUCUUUUUUGGCCACCAGGAGCAUAUGGAGUUCCUUGGCCAGGGAUAAGAUCCAAACCACAGUUGUGACCGACACCACAGCUUUGGAUCCGUUAACCCACUGUUCCUGCCAGGGAUCUAACCUGUGUCCUGGUGCUUGCAGAGAUGCCACUGAUCCCGUUUCACCACAGCAGGAACUCCUUAGUUGUUAUAACUGGAAAGUCCAGGCGGCUUCUAGGAAUUGAAAACCAGCCCAUCACAUGACACCACUGUGAGUUUGCCAGUGUGGUUUCCUCUGUGCGGCAGGAGUGCAUUUACCAUGCUAUGAGUCUACUGUCGCAAGGAAGAUGACUUUUCAGAAGGCGAAUUUGGGGGGAGUUCCUUCCCGUCAUGGCUCAGUGGAAACAAAUCUGACUGGUAUCCAUGAGGACACAGGUUCAAUUCUGGCCUCGCUCAGUGGGUUAAGGAUCUGGCAUUGCCGUGAGCUGUGGUGUAGGUCGCAGAUGUGGCUCGGAUCUGACGUUGCUGUGGCUGAGGCUGUGGUGUAGGCCAGUGGCUACAGCUCUGAUUGGACCCCUAGCCUGGGAACCUCCAUAUGCGGCAGGUGUGGCCCUAAAAAGACCAAAAAAAAAAAAAGGGGGNGGCAGGCAAAUUUGGGGAAGAUGAGAGACUCAGAACAUGAGAGGCUCCUGUUCUUAAGCAAAUGUUUCAUUUCUACAGAUUCCUCACAGUUAAAACAACAAAAUAGGACGGAUGUGAUGGCAGAUACCCUCUUAACUGAAGUCACUAUUGUCAAUAUGAGAAGGUCCCCUCUGAGCCACCCAAAGAAAAUCUUCCCACAGGCCUGAAAGGCCUCUAAUUAGCAAUUCACUCCUUUGCCUUGUGUCAUCGAAUAUGCAAAUAUUCCUGGGAGGGCCACCACAUUAAGUGGCUGACACCAUGGUGCAACCCAGUUUUAUCAGAUGGCUGCUUUCCUGUGUGGCAGGAAGGGUGAGCCGCCCCUGAUAAGCCCAGCAAGUCCUUGCCACCAGGAAGGGGAGUGGGUGGCAGACGAGCUCCCAGUCUCACUGGUGAUCAAAGCAGCU